rnacentral:misc_RNA from 1 species
CGCACAUUGCGCCCCUCGGCAUUCCGAAGGGCAUGCCUGUUCGAGCGUCAUUAUCAACCCUCAAGCCCGGCUUGCAGUUGAGCCUCGGCCGUGGACCGGCCGGCUCGAAAGUCAACGGCGGAGUCGGGACGGACCCCGGAUGCAAGGAGCUUCUUCAUGGGCACGCAUCGCGAUGGGUCCCCGGCACCGGCCCCACCCCCUCAUCUCACCACGGUUGACCUCGGAUCAGGUAGGGUUACCCGCUGAACUUAA